rnacentral:rRNA from 1 species
AGCUCUAAUAACGUAUGUUAAAGUUGUUGCAGUUAAAAAGCUCGUAGUCUGAGAAGCGGCCUGGUGCUGAGCGUCCACUGCCUUUACUGGUAGUGCGCAUGCGAGAUGUGCUGGCCAUUUGUACUUCGGAGGAACGCGUGGUGUGCUUUGUUGUGCGCUGCGGCUUACGGGAUUCCGAUUGUUUACUUUGAGAAAAAUAGAGUGUUCAAAGCAGGCGUUUUGCCGUUGAAUACAUUAGCAUGGGAUAAUGGAAUAGGACAUCAGUUCUAUUUUGAUGGUUUACGGACCGAUGUAAUGAUUAAUAGGGACAGUUGGGGACAUUCAUAUUCUUCGGUUAGAGGUGAAAUUCUUGGAUUCGAGGAAGAUGAACUACUGCGAAAGCAUUUGUCAAGGAUGUUUUCAUUG